AAUCCUAGCUCAGGAUGAACGCUAGCGGCAGGCUUAACACAUGCAAGUCGAGGGGCAGCAUAAUGGUAGCAAUACUAUUGAUGGCGACCGGCGGACGGGUGCGUAACGCGUAUGCAACCUACCCUUUACAGGGGGAUAACACUGAGAAAUCGGUACUAAUACCCCAUAAUAUUCUGGGAGGCAUCUUUCGGAGUUGAAAGCUUUGGUGGUAAAGGAUGGGCAUGCGUUGUAUUAGCUAGUUGGUAAGGUAACGG
rnacentral:rRNA from 1 species